AUGAAGUCGGAAUUGCUAGUAAUCGCGGAUCAGCAUGCCGCGGUGAAUACGUUCCCGGGCCUCGUACACACCGCCCGUCACACCAUGGGAGCCGGUAAUACCCGAAGUCAGUAGUCCAACUUCGUGAGGACGCUGCCGAAGGUAGGAUUGGCGACUGGGGUGAAGUCGUAACAAGGUAAC
rnacentral:rRNA from 1 species